UUCUAAAUGGGAAAUACAUAUCUAAUAAUUGAGUCAACAGGUGGAGGGUCCUCUCAUUAUUAUUUUUUUCUACAUAUGCUUUUUUAUGCAUUCUAAAUGGGAAAUACAUAUCUAAUAAUUGAGUCAACAGGUGGAGGGUCCUUUCAUUAGUUUUUUUUUCACAUAUGCUUUUUUAUGCAUUCUAAAUGGGAAAUAAAUAUCUAAUAAUUGAGUCAACAGGUGGAGGGUCCUCUCAUUAGUUUUUUUUCACAUAUGCUUUUUUAUGCAUUCUAAAUGGGAAAUAAAUAUCUAAUAAUUGAGUCAACAGGUGGAGGGUCCUCUCAUUAGUUUUUUUUUCCCAAAUAUGCUUUUUUAUGCAUUCUAAAUGGGAAAUAAACAUCUAA